AGAAAACGAGACAAAAAAGAUUUCAAGAAGCGGAAUACUUAUGGAAACAUUCACAUCCUCCAGAGUUUGAUAAAUACAGGAUUAAAGGAUGAGAUUUUAGAGACGACCGUAGGGAAUAUUUUAUUACAUUUAUCGUUUCCUGAAGCUGUAAAAUUUGUCUUUUACUCCCCUAAAUAAUUAUUCUUUCAUUUGAAAGUCCACAAGUCGUCGUUAGAAUCUCUUCCUUUGUUGACAACCCUGUAUGAAAAUGCAUUAUUGAUUAGAUGCAUAAAAUCAGUCAUUUUCAAUUUUUUUAAAGCGUUUUUUGACCAGGCAAAUACAUAUAUUGAAUAUAGUUUAUCUUUGUACAUUUGAAAAAUAAGAAAGAAUAUGAAUAAACUAUAAUAUAUUUGAUUAAAAGAAAGUAGAUAG